AGAGGGGCAUUAUGUUUUCUGGUCUGUACGUCCGUUCGUCUGUCUGUUCGUUCGUUCGUCCGUUCGUCCCGCUUCAGGUUAAAGUUUUUGGUCAAGGUAGUUUUUGAUGAAGUUGAAGUCCAAUCAACUUGAAACUUAGUACACAUGUUCCUUAUGAUAUGAUCUUUCUAAUUUUAAUGCCAAAUAAGAGUUUUGAUCCCAAUUUCAC
rnacentral:lncRNA from 1 species